rnacentral:rRNA from 1 species
UACGUAGGGGGCAAGCGUUAUCCGGAUUUACUGGGUGUAAAGGGUGCGUAGGCGGCUUUGCAAGUCAGAAGUGAAAUCCAUGGGCUUAACCCAUGAACUGCUUUUGAAACUGCAGAGCUUGAGUGGAGUAGAUGUAGGCGGAAUUCCCGGUGUAGCGGUGAAAUGCGUAGAGAUCGGGAGGAACACCAGUGGCGAAGGCGGCCUGCUGGGCUCUAACUGACGCUGAGGCACGAAAGCGUGGGUAGCAAACAGG